GCGGCAGUAUGCAAGUCGUUAAGCAACUGCACUCGAAAUGCAGUGGGCUCUGCCCGCGCAGGUUCAAAUCCUGUCUGCCGCG